rnacentral:rRNA from 1 species
UACGGAGGGGGCUAGCGUUGUUCGGAAUUACUGGGCGUAAAGGGCUCGUAGGCGGCCAACUAAGUCGGACGUGAAAUCCCCAGGCUCAACCUGGGAACUGCGUCCGAUACUGGAUGGCUUGAAUCCGGGAGAGGGAUGCAGAAUUCCAGGUGUAGCGGUGAAAUGCGUAGAUAUCUGGAGGAAUACCGGUGGCGAAGGCGGCAUCCUGGACCGGCAUUGACGCUGAGGAGCGAAAGCCAGGGGAGC